GGUUUCAGUUCCCGACCGCGUCUCUUGCUCGGUCGCUCUCUUUGGCCUCUGGUUAACGGGAACUUCGCCGGCCUUCCCCUCCGUGACGCCGCCGUGCGCCGCGCUGGCCGGUUAGAGGGGGCGGGGGAGCGAGGGAGGAUGAUCUACACGGCUAUAUACACGUUCUUCUACCUGACGGACGAGCAGCUGCCGGACUCGCCGUCGCGCAAAGAUGGGAUCGACGAGGCCUCCCUCCGCGUCCACGGCUGCGACGUCACCCAGGAGAGCGGCAUCCUCCUCAAGCUGUAUCCCUUUUCCUCCCCUGUCCCUCGCCUCUCGUUUGUGCCCAAUUUUCGAAGUUCCUAGGGUUUGGUGAUAAGCCUGGUUGGGAGGACCAGGUGGAAAUUGAGCUCGUUAAAAUGCAAUUUCGCAUUAGGUUUAGGACUAAAUACCGAUGUUUGAUUUGUUAGUUGCGCUGCCGAAUUGUCCCUUGUUUAGUAAGGAAAUUGCAAAUAGAUCUAUGCUUUACUUGGGUUUGGGUGUCUGUGCGCAUUGUAGGUGUCUGUCCUGUUUAAUCGUUUUUACUGCAAGAAAUCAUUCGCACGAUUUACUGCUAAUGUAUAUAGGUUUGUAUCCAGUUUACUCUAGCCGAACCAUUCUCAGACUCUUCUGAGCUGAGCUUGUUUAUUUGUUCUUCCAGAGGGUUGCUGCUAGUUGUGUCUGGCUAGCUGGAAAGUUGGGAUAGAGUCCAAGGAGAUCCAAGCAUAUUGUAUUUGUCUAAUUGUCUUCCACAGAAUGGAAUGCAGGAGAUAAAACCGGCGAAUAGAAUUCUUGGACGUAUUUUCAACGAAAUAUACAGAACUGAGGCAUGAUCCCAUAAGGACCAAACGUCAUCUGUUGAAGGAGAUGAGGUUUAUUUGCCAUGUUGAGCACCCUCACAAGUUCAUCUCGAACUAACUUGUAACACUCGAAGCUCCUGAACUGACAAAAGAAGCAUGGAACCUAGCCAAUGAUAGGCGUGGCAAGGUGGGGCAAUAGACCUCUAAGACUCAAUGCGAUAUAAAGGGGACGGAGAACCAAGCGUGUAUCUACAGAGGAAAUGAGACCACCAACGUGAUGUUAUGCGUCACAAGUUCUGUUUAUUAUUUCAGGAGCCAAAACUAGCUUCCACGCUUCUACCUAUGAUGGUUAGCAUUUAUAGUAAUUUGCUUCCGUUUUCACGUUUGUUUUGAAUGGAAUGGCGAGCUGGUUCGAAUAUUAUUCGUGCAGUUGUUGACACUUGUUGCCUUGGGCAAACAAAAAAGGUUUGUCCUAUGCCAAACUAAUACGAGUUUAGAGAAA